rnacentral:lncRNA from 1 species
GCAGACCACUGGCCAGCUCUGACCAGAAACCCAUGUGAACUAAUCAACUAUGACCAGGGACAGGGUCAUGACCGAAUAUGGCAGCUCCUGUGGGAGCCAUACAGCUGGAGGGGAAUGUUAGACAAACAACAGGUGCCACACAGGAGUGCCAGCUGAGGAGUUAAACUUCGGAAGGAAGUGGGAGUCAGGGCAUGAUGGCAGGUAGCUGAGCAUUUAAUAGACAGUCCCAGGGGAGAAAAGGGAGUGAAGUGGAGUGAUUCAAAAACCACAGGGUUUGAACUUGGGCCUGAGUUUAAAAUCUGCCAUCUCGUCACUGCGUGACCUUGGGUAAGUUAUUAACCUCCCUGAUGCUCAAUUUUCUUAAACAUUAAAAAGGAAAAAAGAGUAUACCUAACUUUAACCCUGAUCCUUCACUUUCUUAUCUGUUAAUAGAAAAAAAUAUACAUAGUACCAAACAUGGAGGAUGCUAAGGAGAAUUUAAAGACGCAAUAGGCAAAGCACCUGACACAUGACUGGUCUCAUCUAAAUAGUGGUCAUUACUCUUGCUCCUCUCGGUGACCCCUGAAGACAUAAGUAGAACCAAUGCCUGGAAGUCACAGGAUAAAGCUUUCUGUUUGACGAGCAUUUAGUCAGUGGAAUGGCUCAAAAACAGAAGAGGCUGUCUUCUACAGGGCCAGUUCCCACUUGGAACGAGGCAGAAGGGUGUAGGGGAAAGACAGUCAGGAUUCAUUCAGAAGGUCUUGCCCCCGCUUCCUAGCUGGGUCUUCCACAGGAACCUUCCUCCUCUCACCCUCCAGUUACUACCCUCCCUCCUUCCCCGCCUCCAAGGCAACCAACACCAAGGCUCUUCUCGCCAUAAGUUAGUCUUGCCUCGUUUUGAACUUCACCGACGUGGAAUCAUACAGUUUGUAAUCUUUUGAGCUUGGUGUCUUUUACUCAGCAUGUAGUUUCUGAGAUGUUAUUGUCUGAAGGUGUAGUUUAUUCUCAAAACAUUUUUGUCAUUAUUUUCCGGUUCCGCUGGCGAGUUGUCACCUUGAAACAAAAUGGCUAUCAGAAAAAACCUUCCAAAUGGCUGAGCUUCGAUGACUGCACCAAAUGAUGGCUAUGGUUCAAAAAACCCACUAGUUUGGUAUUUUGAAUCACAAGAUGAUUCACUGAGUUGCCCUAGAGCAUAAGACAUAAAAUGUGCACAUCCUUUCUAGCAAAUGAAAUAAACUGAGCAGUAGGAGCCAACAGCUAAAAUCAAAGCAGGCAUAUCAAAACCUUAGGGGACUCCAAGGAGAAAGAUUCGAUUAGAAUGAGGAGAGACGGUGUCGAGCCUAAGCAAAUAGGUAAAUAAAGAACAGAAAUUGCCCGUAGAGUCACUGGAGGUGUUAGAAGUGGCAGGCGUGACACACCAUGGAAAGAAGAGAGAUAUUGACAUGAUACAGGGCUGGCAUUAAGCCUUUGGUCCCCUGCCCAUUAACCGUAUGAUCCUGAGCAAGUUACUUCCCUUCUCUGAGUCUCAAGUGCUUUAGCCACAAAAUUGAAAUAGUACCUACCUCUUAGGCUUGGUUUAAAGAUAAAAGUCAAUUAAACGAUAGUGUGAAAUAGAAAGCAGAUGUUUGUGUUCUUAAGAAAUGAAGAAAAUGCCACCCUGUAUCCCUGGUACCAAAUUAGCUUGAUUUUUAUGUUUCUGUGUAAAGGGUACCAUGAGCUUUUUGAGGGCAAAAUAUGAACCUUAUUUAUCUGAGGGUCCCAAGCGCUUAGCAUUUCAUACAAGAAAUGUAUGUUGAUUUGAGGCUUGUGGAUCAUGAGGCAAGAUGUGUGGUUGUGCUUGUGCUAAUGUGUUUGGAAGGGAGACAGUGACACCAAUACAUGUUAGUGCUCCUGUUAUAUCCGCCCCUAUGUCAGUCACUCUGCAGAUGGGAAUGGACCUGGAUUGUUCUAUCAUUCAAUUUUUAUAAUAAUUCCUUGAAACAGUUUUGCAGACCCCAAACCAAAACUCGGAAAGGUUAAGGUCAUCCAUCCAGUUAGUUUAGGAUCAAAACUGGGGUCAGGUCCAUCUAUCUCCAGAGGCUGGGUGCCUUCCACUCACCAUUGUUUCUCACUGUUUCUCACCAUCUUCUCUGCUCGUUCAUGGAUUCAGUUACUCCCUCAUUCAUUCAUCAGAUCAAUCCAUCGGCAAAUGUUUAUGAGGCAUUCACCAUGUGCCAGCUGUCUCCUAGGCAGGUGCAAUAUGCUGACAAAAGAGAGAUGAAGGCUCUACCUCAUGAAGAUUAUAUCCUAGUUGGGAGAGGGUAGUAAAUAAAUAAAUAAAAUCCAGUGAUUGAUCUAUGCAACAUAUCAAUAGAGAAAUAUAAUUCAGAGGCAGGAGCCUUCCUGCAGAGGUGACAUUUGAGCUGAGACCUGAAAAAAUAUCCUAAGUGGUUCCAGGUGACAUCCUCCUGCCCUGCCACAUACCCUUUCUCAGAAACUGGAUCACAAAAGUAUCCUAAGCCAUCCAAAGGCCUCCCAUGGGGACCAGUUUUGAAAGCUGGAUUUACAGGAAGAUCCCAGCCUGCCUUCCUGCCAAAGUCCUGUCAGCACUUGCAUGGUCUCCUCAGAUGCCUGCUUUCCUCUCUGCCUGGGCUGGCUCUCCCCACCCAAGGGGGCAAAGGCUACUUGAGGUGGAUGAUUCGGAGGAAUUUUCCAAGCAUCCUUCACACAGCCACUGGCUCCUGUGGUUCCCCCUCUGUGGGAAUCUGUGGCCUGGGUUCUUUUCUCUUCCUCCCCCUCUCUGUCUGGGCAGGGAAAGAACUACAGCGACAGAGGAUUUACCUCCCCCCAAGCACCGCUCUUUACAUACUUCUCUGAAAAUGCCUUUAGUGACGAGACCGCUGCACAUACCUUUGCUUUAUGCGGGGGCGCCAUCUUGCACGUGGUCGGAGAGAAGGCGGUUGAUGCUUCCUCUACAGGAGUGUUCAUUUGUAGACAAAGAGUUUGGCCCAUCACAGAUACAGUCAGAGACAGCACUCCACUACUGAAAUGCUGUGCAAUAUUAGGCUGUAAAAGAGAACACCUGGGCCCAAACAGCGAGAUAAGAGUAUCUGGUAAAGGAGAAACAACAUCAAGUUUGAUAUCAGACAGACCUGGCUUCUCAACCUACUUCAUGACAACAGUGUGAUUUUUAAGGAAUCACUUAAUUUCUCCAAGCCUCUAUGUCCCCAUCUGAAAAACAAGGUUGAUACCUAGAGAGGUUUAAAGUAGUAAAGGAAAAGGGUUGGCCCUGGCCCAAGCGUACUUUGUGAAAAAUGUGUCCAAAGAAAGACAGUCAUCAGUACCUUGGAAAUUUACUGUAAGCGAAUGCCUGGCCAUCAGUUUUGUGAUAAUAAUGACAUGAUUUUUCAGCCCAUCUCUCAGAAUACAAUCCCACUGAUCAAGCUCACUAUAGUGAUGAGAAACCAGAAUUUCAACUUUUUAAAUGAUGAGGAUUGGAAUUGGGAUUAAAAAAAGAAAAACCUCAAGUCAUAUCAGCAUGACUACCACUUUCCCCCACUGGAAAGCACACAGGAAGCCAAGUUAUAAUUAAGGAGGUAGACUGAUGAACGUGGAAGCAGCACAAGGAGAAUCAGACGAAACACCUAUUUCAGGGCAUCCGGACACUGUGGCCACUGGGAACACAUUCACAGCCUCCAAGCUCUCUGCUUCCUGGCGUCCUUUCUGAGAGACUCAUUCUCUCCCUGAGAAAUGCUAACAUGUUCAGUUGAGUUCUUCCAAACUUUUAGACCCAAGAAAUGCUUUUCUGUUGGAAGUGAUUUUUGCAUUGCCCUGUUCUGAUCUCCUGACAUUGGUUUUAUUAUUUAGCUUUCUGGAGGCCACCUUAGUACUAGCCACAACAUUUGUCCAAUGGUUUUCUAGGAAUAGCAAGUGACACAGAUUUCAAGUAGCACUUAGAAGAGAACAGGUAUUGAAGAAGAUACCUGGAGAAGGGGGAGGGGAGAGUUCGUGUAUUGGCCGGGACACGCUUGUGCUCCAAAUCAGAGAAUAUUUCAGAAGGAACAACAGGAAAUGUAAAGAGUGGGGGAAAGCUGCGUCACAAACCAUGGGCAUGUCCUGAUUUCUUCUUCAAACAGCAAAUCCUAUCUCUUAACCGUGAGACUGGGCACGUGACCCACGCUGAACUAGCCAAAGAACCCAGCUCUACAGCAACAGAGAAUAAUGCAUAAGUGAGGCAUAUGACCAAAACCAAACAAAGGCAAUCCUUUCUAAGACCUUAAAAGGCUUUUGUGCUAUUUUUUUCUGUGUUUGGACCUGCUCAGAGCAUAGGAAGAGAUCACAUCCCAGUGGGUAAAGGACAGACUAUCCACUGAAGGAAGACAAAAUACCCAUCAUCUUUGGGAUGAGCUUGUGCACAGAGCAGGAAACAGAGACUCAGAAAAAUGGGAGGGUGGAGCUUCUUCUCAUCCUAGAGACUUUGCCUUGGAUCUACACCACGAGGAAAAAGAGGCGUUCAGGGUGCUGCUGGGAGGAAGUCAAGCAGUGGUCACCACACAUCCAAUUACCCAGGGACAGACAGACAGAGAGAAACAGCCUGUUAAAACCCAUGUGGUUGGGCCAAGAUCUGUGUGCUGAGAGAGCAGGUGUAUCUGGUAACUACCCUGUAAUUCUCGAAUGUCGCUCCAGCCCUCAUCUGUGCUGUGAAAAAGGAGAGGGUUGGAGCUCCCAUUGUGCCUCAGCAGGUUAAGGAUCUAGCACUGCCUCAGCAUAGGUCAAAGAUGCAACUCAGAUCCAGUGUUACCACAGUGGUGGUGUAGGCCAUAGACUGGGUGACUUACAAACAGCAGAAAUUCGGAGUUCCCAUUGUGGCUCAGCGGUAACAAACCUGGCCAGUAUCUAUGAGGAUUCAUAACCCGCUGUAGGUUAAGGAUCUGGCCUUGCCGUGAGCUAUGGUGUAGGCCACAGAUUCGGCUCCGAUCUGGCAUUGCUGUGGCUGUGGUGUGGGCUGGCAGCUACAGUUCCGAUUCAACCCCUAGCCUAGGAACUUGGUGGGUGUGGCCCUUAAAAAAAAAUCAGAAUUCAUUUCUCAUGGUUCUGGAGGGUGGAAUCCGAGAUCCAGGUGCCAGCGAGGUCAGGUUCUGGGGAAAGCCCCCUUCACAGCUCCAGACUGUUGGCUUCUUCCCUCACAUGACAGACAGCAGAGCACAAGCUCUCUCUAUAAAGGCAUUAAUCCCAUUCCCGAGGCUCAGUCCUCACCGUCUCAGCUAAUCUUAACUACCUCCACAGCCCUACCUCCUAACAGCGUCACUUCAGGCGGUAAAGUUUCAACACACAAAAUUUUCAGGGAAGACAAACAUUCGGCUCCUAACAAGAGUAGCCAGUCCACAGCAGCCCCAUGACAGCCGUGAAGCCCUGGCAGCUAGGAACGGAUUGGGGGCUCUUCCCGCCAAAGGUGUAAACUCCCAGGGCUGGCCUUGACCUCCUCCACCCCUGGCAGAGCCACACAGACCCACCCUCCACAGACAACCCCAGGCACUUGGUUUGAUGUUAUGAGGCAGUGCCAUUUUUCCAGCUGCCCUGAGGAUAAUGAUGCCCAGGACCUUUGCGCAGAUGGAUCCGUGGCUGUGGCUUUUUCUUUCCACAGGGAAUUUGCGGGCUACUGAUAUGGAUGUUUCCACCUAAAAGCAGACAGAACCUAUGAGCCUAGAAAUUAAUCCUAAUACAAUCCCAUUACACUGGGAAAGCCAAAGUGCUUCUUUAACUAAGAAGGAUUAAUAAGGAGCAAAAUUACUCUCCUAAAAUGUCCAAAGAGCCCACAACGUGAAAGAAAAAUCUCACAUUUCCUAUGGGAUCUAAAGGAAGAGAAUUAGAACGGAUGGGUAGAAGUUAUACCUAGAUGGAUUUUUAUCCCAUCUUAAGGUAAAAUAUGUGCGGAUCCUUCUACUUGAUAGUAAAGAGCAAAGGAUGACUCUUCUUUUCCUCCCUAACUUACCUGUAAUUCCUCCAAAAGCCCACUAAAGAGCACAUACUGGAGUUCACGUCUUGGCACAGUGGAAACGAAUCCAACUAGGAACCAUGAGGUUGCGGGUUUGAUCCCUAGCUUUGCUCAGUGGGUUAAGGAUCCGGCAUUGCUGUGAGCUGUGGUGUAGGUCACAGAUGUGGCUUGGAUCCUGUGUUGCUGUAGCUGUGGUGUAGGCCGGCAGCUAUAGCACUGAUUAGACCCUAGCCUGGGAACUUCCAUAUACCAUGGGUGCAGCCCUAAAAAGCAAAACAAACAAACAAAAAAACCACUAUGGAGAACAGUAUGGAGGUACCUUAGAAAACUAUACAUAGAACUACCAUACGACCCAGCAAACGCACUCUUGGGCAUAUAUCUUGACAACACUUUCCUUAAAAAAGACACAUGUGCCCACAUGUUCAAUGCAGCUCUAUUCACAAUAGCCAAGCCAUGGAAACAACCCAAAUGUCCAUCGACAGAUGAUUGGAUUAAGAAGAUGUGGUAUAUAUACACAAUGAAAUACUACUCAGCCAUUAAAAAAGAACAAAAUAAUGCCAUUUGCAGCAAUAUGGAUGGAACUAGAGACUCUCACACUGAGUGAAGUAGGUCAGAAAGGGAAAGACAAAUACCAUAUGAUAUCACUUAUAUCUGGAAUCUAAUACAUGGCACAAAUGAAGCUUUCCACAGAAAAGAAAAUCAUGGACUUGGAGAAGAGACUUGUGGUUGCCAAGGGGGAGGGGCAGGGAGUGGGGUGGUUGGGAAGCUUGUGGUUAAUAGAUGCAAACUAUUGCCUUUGGAACAGAUUAGCAAUGAGAUCCAUUGUGUAGCUGUGUAGCACUGAGAACUACGUCUAGUCACUUAUGGAGCAUGAUAUUGUGCAAAAAUAGAAUGUGUACAUGUAUGUGUAACUGGGUCACCAUGCUGUAUAGUAGAAAAAAAUUGUAUUGGGAAAUAACAAUAAAUAAAAAUUUUUUAAUUAAAAAAUAAAUGUUGUCCCACAAAAAAAAAAAAAA